rnacentral:misc_RNA from 1 species
GAUGAAGAACGCAGUGAAAUGCGAUAAGUAAUGUGAAUUGCAGAAUUCAGUGAAUCAUCGAAUCUUUGAACGCACAUUGCGCCCGCCAGUAUUCUGGCGGGCAUGCCUGUUCGAGCGUCAUUUCAACCAUCAAGCCCCCGGCUUGUGUUGGGGACCUGCGGCUGCCGCAGGCCCUGAAAACCAGUGGCGGGCUCGCUAGUCACUCCGAGCGUAGUAAUACAUCUCGCUCAGGGCGUGCUGCGGGUUCCGGCCGUUAAAAAGCCUUAUUUACCCAAGGUUGACCUCGGAUCAGGUAGGAAGACCCGCUGAACUUAAGCAUAUCAAUAAGCGGGA